rnacentral:lncRNA from 1 species
GAGGAGAAAUUACACAGUAAGCCUUACCGCUCUCUUUCUUGCAACUAAAAUGCUCCUUUUGUUUUGUCUUCUUUCAGGUGUGUGCUGCAGUUGCCAGAGGAGUGGUGGGAGCUCUCAAGAUGCGGGUGCCACCACAGCCGUGCAGCUGCCAGCAGGGCAGUGUGAAUGUGGAGGUGUGCUCUCUUCGUGGUACUGCAUGGCUCCAAAAUCCUACCCAGACUAACAGGGAGUAAAUAUGUUGUCGAUUACUCCUGGAUGUCCUAGAGGGACGAGAGUGGUACUGGUUUGAGUUCACUUCAGAACAGUGCACCUGUAUACAUCCCUGACCCAGCUCUCCUUUAGCUACCAAACCAGCAGCUGGGACAGCCAGGAGGAAAAUUAAGCUGUGAACUGGAAUUCCAUCAGGCUGUCUGCUGCGAAGCCCUGCGGCUUUAGCAAACAGGCAGCAGUGGUCAGAAAUGACACUCAAAAGAAAGUGGCAUGUAACUCAUAGAGGACUUCCAGCUCCUGUGAAAGAGGGAGAGGAUAUUUCUGUUCUGCAGUCUUCACAUCUAAGGAGAAUUGUGGUGGUCUGUGCACCUACUACACGUGAUCAGGGAGCAGGAGGAGCCUGCUGCAGGCUCUGCUCAUAUAAGCUCUCUUCAGCUCUCACUGCAGGUAUUGAAAGCCUAUGCUGUCUCCAGGACUGAGAACUUUGUGUUUCCAUUGCCUUCUAUCUCUCAGGCAUGGUAUAAUGACAAACCAAUUCUUCUGCUUCCUAGUUAAUGGAUAGGUUAUUUAUUUAUUUAUUUUUAAAUUGUUAAAGAAAGGCUAGCUUUUAGCUAUUAAACGUCUUUCAUGAUAUUUAUGACAGAUUCUCCACUACUUUCUUGGUGCACAUAGUCUUCAAGAUCCUUAAAGGGCAAUUCUUAGAUUUUCUGUGCUUGGUGCUAAUGUAGCACUUGUUUCAUAACGAACUCGAAAUGGUGGGUUUUUGCUCUGUACACAAUUAGAAAACACCAAAAGCUCCACUAAAGGAAA